UAUGAUUCAAUCGUUUAUAACUCACAAGUCAGCGGAUGUGAAAUCAGUUGUUUGUCAGAUUCCUCCAGCUGAAGUUCUCUGAGUCUUUGCCGCGAUGAUCCCAGGAUCGAGAGUGCUACUGAUGUUGGCGGCCAGUGUCGCUGUGGCCAAUGCUCUGAGUUUUUGUCUCUACCAUGCCGACUGUAUGCAGGAGUGUCAAGGGAUGUAUGCGCCCGUCUGUUCGUUCUUCGUCUGCUCCUGUUCACCCCUGACCAACAUGGGAGAUCCCCAGAAUCUCACGAUUGUUUAGGACGAAUGGGGAUACGGCAUAUCAACUCUUAUCAUUACCAACAUUUUUUACAAGCGACAAUUGUAAUUGUUCUUGAGAUUUUAACGAUCCGAGUAAGUGCGGGGUAUGAAAUAAAAUUUAAAAUAAUGAAAAUUUGAAUAUUUGUGUUUCAUAAAUUUUUCUCCCUGAUUUGUUUACUAACCGAUUAAUCAUCUUGCCUUUUCAAUUUCCUCGAAAUUCCUAGGGGAUUAAUUUUUUUUAUUCAAAUUAUUCUACUGAAAUAGCUUUCACAUAUGGACCAUUUAUCCGGUCAUUAUUAAUACUAAUAUAAUUAUGAUUAUGAGUAUUAUAUAAUCAGACACCUAAAAAUCAAUAAUUAACACGAAAUAUAAAAAGUAUAAUCAUGAUAACAACGAUAAUUUUAAUAUUGAAGGGGAAUAAAUAUUAAAUAAUUAUAAAAGUUUUAAAAACUUAUCGAUGAGACAGAAAAAAAUUUACAAGUUUGCACAUCAAGUUGGCGACAGUUGCGUUGGAAAAUAAACGAGCAGAUGUAAUGACCUAUAGAAUUGCAUGAGGCAUAAAAAUCCAUAUCUUAGUGGUUUUCCAUUUUUAAGAAAUACAAACCAUAGUUUUUCCGAGUACUUAACGAUAAAUAUUUAAAGAUUUUUCGCUUAAAACGACUGGAGAAUGUGGGAAAUGGUCAGUACUCGGUCAAAUUCAAUACUGAUAACUUUGUUGAACGAAUCUUCAUCAUGUUUCCGGUGCAGAAGGUGCUUCUGCUUUUAAUGCUCUGUGUUGCUGUGGCCCAUUCGCUCAGCUUCUGUUGGACGAAAGACAAUUGCAAAGACUGCGGAGAGUCUUUGACUCCCGAAUGCGAUCUCUUCAUUUGCACGUGCAAAGCUGUUAAUAAUGGCGGUGAUACCUCGAAUACAGGUGAAGCGUGACGUGGAGGCGGAGAAGUCACGACUAGGUGCAUCGAUCCUGGGACACCACAUAAUUGUUAAAUAUAUUUACAAAGAGGGAAUACAUGUGGAACUUCAAGAACUUUGGAAGUGAAGUUCAAACUUUCCCAGAUUAAAAGUUAAUUGGAAAAUGCAAUAAAUUUCAUUUUGACCUUUGUUUAAUUAACAUAAAUUAGUUAAAAUUCUGGCCCUUUUUGGUUUAUGUGAUCCCUCAGGCAGAGCACUAAUAAAAAUUCAAGAUUUAAUGGUUGACUUUUAUUUCGCUCGUGGAAUUAAUAAUCUGAGAUAUUAAAAACAAAUAGACGAACAGUAAAAUCAGAAAAAUUCAGGAUUUGAACAGAAUUUCAUAAAAUGAGGAUUUUGUGAUUAAAUAAACAAGGUCUCCCUACUUUGUUUAUCACUGGAAACUUUUCUACCUCUACGAUAACCCUAUCCGCUAUUUCCAACGUCAAUUUCCCUCGCGAGGUCAGCGGUAAUUGCAGAUGUAUGACAGCAGUCGUAGAUAGACCCCGAGAAGGAGGACUUGGUGAACUACGAACAGUCCAAAUAGACCAGCUAAAUUGUCGUGAUGAUCGCCCGGAAGCUAAUUCUCCUGCUCCUCGUUAUUAUCAUGUGGGUUUCGGCAAACGCUGCAUGCACUGAGGAUUCUGAAUGUGAUCCCUACUGUCCACUGGAAAAUACUGUCGCCUCCUGUCAAGAAUCCGUCUGUCACUGCGAGAAAAGUUCACAGGAAGCGGAAUAGCGGAAAUCGCGCAAAAUUCACCAGCUUUUUUCGCAAAAGCUGAACUGUCGGCCUAUGACAGCAUCAUCAGCCUCGGAUAAAUCCACUAAUUAUUCUGAUCAAUCAUCACGAUGUGAAUAAAUAAAAAAAUUAUGAAGCUCACAGUUGUCCGAACAAUUUAUCUUAGUUCAAUGUUUCACUGAAAAAAAAAUCUGAAAGCUGCACAAAAUUGCGGAACAAUAAAUGUGCGAUCGUUAGUUAACGUUUCGAUCAAAAAUA